AGUCAACUCUUCGCGUUGUGUGGGACUGGUGUUGUCGUCGGUGUUCACAUGGAAUACUUCAUUCUCUAUAACUGAGCUUUUAAAGUUCAUUGACUGAUAAUGUUGUUAACAGGAGACAAGUUUUAAAAGUUGUGGAAUUCUGAAAACAAAGGAGAUCAGUUGAUCCCUUGCCAAGAUGAUGGCGGACGUGGACCCGGAGACACUGCUGGAAUGGCUGCAGAUGGGCCAGGGCGAGGAGCGGGACAUGCAACUCAUUGCCUUGGAGCAACUGUGUAUGCUCCUCCUUAUGUCCGAUAAUGUGGACAGAUGCUUCGAAAGGUAAGGAGCCAGUAGCCAGGGGUCCUGAUUGUCUUCCUCUCCGGGUGUUCAUGUAUUGUGAGGCUGUGGCGUGGAGGUGUGAGGUUCUGUGCUGAGGGGUGAGGUACAGUGU